rnacentral:rRNA from 1 species
AUUGAACGCUGGCGGCAGGCUUAACACAUGCAAGUCGAGCGGGAAUAGGUAGCUUGCUACUGAAUUCUAGCGGCGGACGGGUGAGUAAAGCUUAGGAAUCUGCCAUUUAGUGGGGGACAACAUUCCGAAAGGGAUGCUAAUACCGCAUACGUCCUACGGGAGAAAGCAGGGGAUCUUCGGACCUUGCGCUAAAUGAUGAGCCUAAGUCGGAUUAGCUAGUUGGUGGGGUAAAGGCCUACCAAGGCGACGAUCUGUAGCGGGUCUGAGAGGAUGAUCCGCCACACUGGGACUGAGACACGGCCCAGACUCCUACGGGAGGCAGCAGUGGGGAAUAUUGGACAAUGGGGGGGACCCUGAUCCAGCCAUGCCGCGUGUGUGAAGAAGGCCUUUUGGUUGUAAAGCACUUUAAGCGAGGAGGAGGCUACCUGGAUUAAUACUCUAGGAUAGUGGACGUUACUCGCAGAAUAAGCACCGGCUAACUCUGUGCCAGCCGCCGCGGUAA